rnacentral:misc_RNA from 1 species
GGAAGGAUCAUUAACACGUAUCCACGUACCAACCAAAAGUGCAUCUCGUUUUCCCCUCUCCCUCGAACCUUCGGGUCUCGAGGCUUGGAUCAUCGCGCUCCCGGGCGUCCGAUGCUCCGCUUUCUACACACGCAUGUAACCCGACCUUUUGCUAGUUGACUUUGAUACACUCCUAUGGCUCGCCAUGGGACGUUUGAUUUAUUCGAACAUCUAAUACAACUCUUAGCAAUGGAUAUCUAGGUUCUCGCAACGAUGAAGAACGCAGCGAAAUGCGAUACGUAAUGCGAAUUGCAGAAUUCAGUGAAUCAUCAAAUCUUUGAACGCACAUUGCGCUCUUGGGUAGGCCUAGGAGCACGCCUCUCUCAGUAUCGGUUUCACACACACUCAGCGGCGUAUGCAAAUACGCGCCGGCUGGUGCAUGAGCGUCUGCCCGCGUGCAGUCGCUUCAAACACUCGUACGAGUGCCAUCUAUGAUUCGUCCGCCUGACCCUCGGGUCUAGCUCUCGCUCUUCGAUCGCCCCCAGUGACGUGAAUACUGACCUUCGGGUCUCACCCUUUACGUGUAUCUGGACGGCGGUACCAACGAGGAUGCAGAGCGACAGCGGCACGCUUCGAUGUGCGCGUGAGUUCCCCAUCGCGAGUCGGCGGCCCCCGCGGCCCCGCCUCGUAACUUUUGAUCUGAGAUGAAGCGAGACAACCCCCUGAAUUUAAGCAUAUUAAUAAGGGGAGGAAAAGAAACUAACAAGGAUUCCCCCAGUAACGGCGAGUGAAGCGGGAGGAGCUCAAUGUGAGAAUCGACUACCUCAGCGGGUCGUCGAAUUGUAGCCUAGAGACGUGCCAUCAGCUGGACCCUGGGUAGAAGUUCUUUGGAAUGAGGCGCGAGACAGGGUGAGAGCCCCGUGUACGACCCAAAGUGUUCAGCGUACGAUGCAUGUUCCUCGAGUCGAGUUGUUUGGGAUUGCAGCUCUAAAUGGGUGGUAAGUUUCAUCUAAAGCUAAAUACCGGCGAGAGACCGAUAGCGAACAAGUACCGUGAGGGAAAGAUGAAAAGAACUUUGAAAAGAGAGUGAAAAGUACUUGAAAUUGCUAAGAGGGAAGCGCUGAGCACGAGUGAUAUGGGUGGUUCUUCGUAGUGCGCGGCCGUAGGGUGUGUGUGUCGUUGGUAACUCGCCAUACGCACCCGAUAGGUACGCGCGCUAUUCGAAUCAUUCGUCAGUCAAGAUCCAUUCGGGCGGUGGGAGAAGGGCGCGAGGAAGGUAGGAGAGCAAUCUCUGUUAAGCCUCGUGUCUCUACCUCGGCCUGGAUGGAGGAAGGAAUGGUGCGCCGCUUGCGGCUUGGUCCUGCGUCUCUCGUCUUGGUGCGCGCUCGGAGAGCAAUGCUCUGCGGGUGUGCCCUAGGGCGACUGGGCGCGGUGCUCCUAUGUGCCAUCGCGAUCUUGUACGAAAUCGUGCUCAUCGACCCGUCUUGAAACACGGACCAAGGAGUCUAACAUCUAUGCGAGUAUUUGGGUGUGAAACCCUGAUGCGCAAUGAAAGUGAAGGCAGCUCGACUGCUGAGGUAGGACGCCGGCAACGGCCGCACUAUCGACCGAUCAUCGCUUGCGAAAGAUUUGAGUCAGAGCAUAUCUGUUGGGACCCGAAAGAUGGUGAUCUAUGCCUGAACAGGGUGAAGCCAGGGGAAACUCUGGUGGAGGCUCGUAGCGAUACUGACGUGCAAAUCGUUCGUCUGAUUUGGGUAUAGGGGCGAAAGACUAAUCGAACCAUCUAGUAGCUGGUUCCCUC